UAAAAUCUGUGACUAGGUAUGGUUAUAUGCUGAAUGUUCAUUUACAGUAAAGGAAUCUAUGCAGGGAGGACAAAGAGCCACCAACACCUCAGGCACUUCUCAUGGGGGGACACCAACUGUUUAGAAGAACUUGUUUGACCCUGUCCGAACAGAGUCACCACCAGCGAAUUUGGCUGAAGGUGGGCAAAUGGAAAGUCCAUGUCCUUUGCAGGGACGAAAUAUUUUCUGUCUGCUAUGCAGUUUGUGAGCGGAACAAAGUCUGGAUUUUACCACAAAGCAUCUGAAGGUUCAAGGAUAGCUUCGUUGAUGGGUAAAGCUAUCUUCAAGGAUGCUGAGGGCUGUAAUAUGGUGAGUAAUUUGUAUUGUUUGUCCUGCAUCUCUUGUAAUGUAAUGUCCUAUGGUUGUGCUACCUGUUUGAAAAGUUCCUGAAAAUGUUUCAGGUCAUUUGUCGUCGGAGAAAGCGAGAUCUGGAAUACUGCUUCCUCCUGCCUGGAGGGACUCUCUGAAUCUGACUGAAGUAAGUUGUCAUGCUCACUGGAACCCGGUGGAGAAAUUACUGAGGGCGGGCGAGCAGGUGAGGAGCAUGCAGAGGUUGUGGAUGAACGCCUAGAGGUGCAGAAUUGCUGGGAUGUAGAAGCUGUGUACCUCGAAUGGGAGGACCGCUGUCAGUACUCUUACCCUGUAUCCCAGGGGCUCCACUGAGGUGGGAGCUGACCUGUAUGAAUGCCAGGAAGUUAGCAAAGGAGAAGGAGAGGAGUGGCCUAAUGAGAGGCUGCUCCUAUGCCUGCUACCAUAAUCAGAUAUUGGGGAUAGCAGUGUAGGCGAGUGGGGGCCACUCUGUGAAGUGUUAGUGUGCCCCUGUGCCAUGGAGCGUGGUGAGCCAGUUACUCCUCUUGAAUCAGACUGAGGAGAGUUUUGCAGGUGCCGCAUUUUGCGCAGCACUUUCUUGUGCUG